CUGUGGGGCCACAGAAGGCAGGACCCAGUGACUAUAACCACCAUGGCCUGGUCCCCUCUCCUCCUCACCCUGCUGGCUCAGUGCACAGGUGA
rnacentral:pre_miRNA from 1 species